GGAUUUCUGGAAUAGAAAAGAAAAGUGUUGUCAUUUCAACAAAGGGUACAAUAGAUAUUUUUGUUUUUAGAUUCGGUCGGUUUUAAUUAAAGAGUUGUAAUUCUAGGCUCUAGUUGAAAAAGGUCGACACAGAACGUAAUAGCACCCUGGGUACCGUUACGACGUGCGUCGACAUUUUUGCGCGGGUUUUGACCGUUAGGGGUUUGGAGAAGGUAUCAUCAUCAUGAUCCAGGGUUUCGGUUUGGGUUCUGUGUGUUUUCUCACUCCAGGUCACGUGAUGUUUUUGUCGGAGCAAGGAUGAGUCACCCUCGCCUCAACGGCGCCUGGCUGUUGCUGUGCGUGUUCUGUCUGGGCCCGGGCUCACUUUCAGAAGGAGCCGAGAACGGAAGAAGGUCGGAUUACCGUAACUCGAGAAGCGCAAGAGCGAGUUGCACGGCUGGCCCUCCGUUUCAAGUGACCUCCUUCAGCUGCGGAUGACCUGUGCUUAAUCAAGACCGCUUGAAUGGCAACUGAGAACUUGCUCCAAGCAAAAAGUGUUUUUAUGAAAUCGUGUUAGCUCGUGCGAAUUCACUGAAUAGGAACAAGUGUGCUUUCAUCGAGACAGCUCGUCCGGAAACUUGCAUUGUCGGCCUAAUAAAGUUUGACGUCAAGCCUAAUAAAACGUGAGGUUAAAACGGAGAAA
rnacentral:lncRNA from 1 species